CCUACGGGAGGCUGCAGUGAGGAAUAUUGGUCAAUGGCCGAGAGGCUGAACCAGCCAAGUCGCGUGAGGGAAGACGGCCCUACGGGUUGUAAACCUCUUUUGUCGGGGAGCAAAGCGAGUCACGUGUGACUCAUUGAGAGUACCCGAAGAAAAAGCAUCGGCUAACUCCGUGCCAGCAGCCGCGGUAAUACGGAGGAUGCGAGCGUUAUCCGGAUUUAUUGGGUUUAAAGGGUGCGCAGGCGGAGGUGCAAGUCAGCGGUAAAAUUGCGGGGCUCAACCCCGUACUGCCGUUGAAACUGCGGGCUGGAGUUGGAGAGAAGUACGCGGAAUGCGCGGUGUAGCGGUGAAAUGCUUAGAUAUCGCGCAGAACCCCGAUUGCGAAGGCAGCGUACCGGCUCCACACUGACGCUGAGGCACGAAAGCGUGGGUAUCGAACAGGAUUAGAUACCCCUGUAGUC
rnacentral:rRNA from 1 species